rnacentral:rRNA from 1 species
AUUGAACGCUGGCGGAAUGCUUUACACAUGCAAGUCGAACGGCAGCACGGACUUCGGUCUGGUGGCGAGUGGCGAACGGGUGAGUAAUACAUCGGAACGUGCCCAGUCGUGGGGGAUAACGUAGCGAAAGCUACGCUAAUACCGCAUACGAUCUAAGGAUGAAAGCGGGGGAUCGCAAGACCUCGCGCGAUUGGAGCGGACGAUGGCAGAUUAGGUGGUUGGUAGGGUAAAGGCCUACCAAGCCGACGAUCUGUAGCUGGUCUGAGAGGAUGAUCGGCCACACUGGGACUGAGACACGGCCCCGACUCCUACGGGAGGCAGCAGUGGGGAAUUUUGGACAAUGGGCGCAAGCCUGAUCCAGCCAUUCCGCGUGCAGGAUGAAGGCCUUCGGGUUGUAAACUGCUUUUGUACAGAACGAAAAGGCUCUGGUUAAUACCCGGGGCUCAUGACGGUACUGUAAGAAUAAGCACCGGCUAACUUCGUGCCAGCCGCCGCAGUAA